rnacentral:rRNA from 1 species
UACGAAGGGUGCAAGCGUUACUCGGAAUUACUGGGCGUAAAGCGUGCGUAGGUGGUUUGUUAAGUCUGUUGUGAAAGCCCCGGGCUCAACCUGGGAAUGGCAAUGGAUACUGGCAAGCUAGAGUGCGGUAGAGGGUAGUGGAAUUCCCGGUGUAGCGGUGAAAUGCGUAAAGAUCGGGAGGAACACCAGUGGCGAAGGCGGCUACCUGGACCAGCACUGACACUGAGGCACGAAAGCGUGGGGAGCAAACGGG